UGAAGGAAAUGUAUAUUGUCGAAUAUGUAUCUCAUCAUAUUUGACUACGCGAUUUAUUUGAGACUGUUUGAUUUUAAUGUUUGAAAUGUUUAACGAUGUUAGUUCUACGUAAAUCCUUCAUUUGACGGUUAGCGAUAGUCCAGAUGUUUCCGCGCAUUGAUACAAGAGAGGUCCUUCUCUUGUGUGUGGAAUUCAGUCAGUGCAGGGCGGCCAUUGUGAGGUCCCUAGAGGUGUACAGCAUGGCACAUGGGUCUGGUACAGACUGGAGGUCUCUGAAGUGUUCUCUACAAGUGUAGAUCACUAUAUCUACAGCGGGAUGCUGAGACAACACUACCCCACUACCUGCUCCUUGAUGAGAACAGUAGCAGCUGCAAUGUAUAUUCCAUACACCAAAAUAUAAACAUAGGUGACAGAGCAAAACUAUUGGCAAUGGCCUAACAUCCAGUUUACUCAGGUUCUGUUAGUCAGGUCUUAAAAUAUUACAGCUGUCCAGCCUCUUGGAAACCCAGACUUCGGGGACUGUGCCUCUGGUACAGUGGGGGCUGGUUCAGCUAAGUUAGAUGGGUUUGCUGGAUGUCAAGGCCACAAAUAAUAUUUCGUCUCUUUUGCUCUAGUUCCUGUUGUCACGGUCACGCUUGGUCGCCUUUCUGUUUGUCCUUAAGUACAACCUUGAGUUGCGGAAGAAUGUAACGCCAAGUCGGAUGCCAGCUAACAUUGUGCCAAUGGUGAGCUUAUUCGUCACCUCAUGUGUACAAAGAUUUAGAGUAUGACAGUGGAAUGCCUGCACUGAUUUUAGCAUUGACCAUGGCUUGUGUACUGUCUGCAGUCGUUAUUUCUAUCCUGCCCUUUAGGCCUAAGUCCACCAGGCAACCUUUGAUUUCAACUGCAAUAUUAUCCCCGGUCUAAGAAAGCUCUGUUCUCAGGGUUUGCAACACUCUUGCUCUCAACUCCCAGUUGACCAGGAAGUGUUAGGUAGUGAUCAGCCACUGUGGAUGUGAAUUCUGCGUAAUCAACAUGUUGCAGCUCAGCCUACUGGUUCAGAAGUGCUGAUGUACUGUACAUCUUUGAAUCUACCAGACACUUAUCUGUGUCGACUCACAGUCUUAAUGUAACAAUAAAUAAGAAAGUGCAUAAGGAGGGCUAAUUGAACUAAAAAUGAAGACUCUCGCUCAUAGUACAUUGAGGUAUAAAAUGAAGAAAUCUUAUUUCUAAAGUACGAAGGAAUUGCUUAAAAUGUAAUAUUAUGUUGGCUAUUCCUGUUGUAAAAUGCAUUAGGAGGCAGAGCCCCAGAAAGGACACUAACAUGCACACUUGCAAUUGCAUAUAACAAUGCCAACAAUGCAAUGUUCACUUUUUAAAAGUGAAAUAGGAAGAUAUCACUUUUGUUAGUCCUUCCACAUCAACCCCUGCCAGUUAUAUGUUUUCUGUCGCAUGUGUAUGAUGAAGUUGUUUGAAAUAAGGUCGUUUGAACAGCUGCGCGCCAUCAUGUGUUAUAUAUACACUCUAUAUGGCGGGUGACACUACACUUCAUGCAUCAGGGCUAUUUUUGUUUGUUGGAGUGUCAACUUGGGUUGAUCGAGGUCUUUUUCUAACACAGAAGACAUAAAUUCAUCCAUGUGGCCUGA